AACGAACGCUGGCGGCAGGCUUAACACAUGCAAGUCGAGCGCCUCGCAAGAGGAGCGGCAGACGGGUGAGUAACGCGUGGGAAUCUACCCAUCUCUACGGAACAACUCCGGGAAACUGGAGCUAAUACCGUAUACGUCCUUCGGGAGAAAGAUUUAUCGGAGAUGGAUGAGCCCGCGUUGGAUUAGCUAGUUGGUGGGGUAAUGGCCUACCAAGGCGACGAUCCAUAGCUGGUCUGAGAGGAUGAUCAGCCACAUUGGGACUGAGACACGGCCCAAACUCCUACGGGAGGCAGCAGUGGGGAAUAUUGGACAAUGGGCGAAAGCCUGAUCCAGCCAUGCCGCGUGAGUGAUGAAGGCCCUAGGGUUGUAAAGCUCUUUCAACGGUGAAGAUAAUGACGGUAACCGUAGAAGAAGCCCCGGCUAACUUCGUGC
rnacentral:rRNA from 1 species